rnacentral:rRNA from 1 species
UACGGAGGGUGCAAGCGUUAUCCGGAUUCACUGGGUUUAAAGGGUGCGUAGGUGGGUAAGUAAGUCCGUGGUGAAAUCUCUGAGCUUAACUCAGAAACUGCCGUGGAUACUAUUUGCCUUGAAUAUUGUGGAGGUGAGCGGAAUAUGUCAUGUAGCGGUGAAAUGCUUAGAUAUGACAUAGAACACCAAUUGCGAAGGCAGCUCUCUGGUACGUGACUGACGCUGAGACGCGAAAGCGUGGGGAGCAAACAGG